rnacentral:rRNA from 1 species
ACGAUGAAGAGUUUGAUCCUGGCUCAGGAUGAACGCUAGCGGCAGGCUUAACACAUGCAAGUCGAGGGGUAACGGGGAAGCUUGCUUCCGCCGACGACCGGCGCACGGGUGCGUAACGCGUAUACAAUCUACCUUAUACUGGGGUAUAGCCUUUAGAAAUGAAGAUUAACCCCCCAUAGUCUCUUAGAGUGGCAUCACUUCUAGAGUAAAGGUUACGGUAUAAGAUGAGUAUGCGUUCUAUUAGUUUGUUGGUGUGGUAACGGCACACCAAGACUACGAUAGAUAGGGGCCCUGAGAGGGGGAUCCCCCACACUGGUACUGAGACACGGACCAGACUCCUACGGGAGGCAGCAGUGAGGAAUAUUGGACAAUGGAGGCAACUCUGAUCCAGCCAUGCCGCGUGCAGGAAGACUGCCCUAUGGGUUGUAAACUGCUUUUAUACAGGAAGAAACACCUCUACGUGUAGAGGCUUGACGGUACUGUAAGAAUAAGGAUCGGCUAACUCCGUGCCAGCAGCCGCGGUAAUACGGAGGAUCCAAGCGUUAUCCGGAAUCAUUGGGUUUAAAGGGUCCGUAGGUGGAUAAUUAAGUCAGAGGUGAAAUCUUGCAGCUCAACUGUAAAAUUGCCUUUGAAACUGGUUAUCUUGAGUUAUUAUGAAGUAGUUAGAAUAUGUAGUGUAGCGGUGAAAUGCAUAGAUAUUACAUAGAAUACCAAUUGCGAAGGCAGAUUACUAAUAAUCAACUGACACUGAUGGACGAAAGCGUGGGUAGCGAACAGGAUUAGAUACCCUGGUAGUCCACGCCGUAAACGAUGGUUACUAGCUGUUUGGACUUCGGUCUGAGUGGCUAAGCGAAAGUGAUAAGUAACCCACCUGGGGAGUACGUUCGCAAGAAUGAAACUCAAAGGAAUUGACGGGGGCCCGCACAAGCGGUGGAGCAUGUGGUUUAAUUCGAUGAUACGCGAGGAACCUUACCAGGGCUUAAAUGUAAGUUGCAUUAGUUAGAGAUAGCUAUUUCUUCGGACCACUUACAAGGUGCUGCAUGGUUGUCGUCAGCUCGUGCCGUGAGGUGUCAGGUUAAGUCCUAUAACGAGCGCAACCCCUGUUGUUAGUUGCCAGCGAGUCAUGUCGGGAACUCUAGCAAGACUGCCAGUGCAAACUGUGAGGAAGGUGGGGAUGACGUCAAAUCAUCACGGCCCUUACGUCCUGGGCUACACACGUGCUACAAUGGUAGGUACAGAGAGCAGCCACUGCGCGAGCAGGAGCGAAUCUAUAAAACCUAUCACAGUUCGGAUCGGAGUCUGCAACUCGACUCCGUGAAGCUGGAAUCGCUAGUAAUCGGAUAUCAGCCAUGAUCCGGUGAAUACGUUCCCGGGCCUUGUACACACCGCCCGUCAAGCCAUGGAAGUUGGAAGUGCCUGAAGUCCGUCACCGCAAGGAGCGGCCUAGGGUAAAGUCGAUAACUAGGGCUAAGUCGUAACAAGGUAGCCGUACCGGAAGGUGCGGCUGGAACACCUCCUUU